CUUCUGCAGUGAUGAAUUUAUGAAACAAUUCACAUGUCAGACUUCAGAGAUUUUUUCAAUCAGUGAGAAGAAAAUUCAUAUUUCUGAGCAGAGG